CACGUUAAAAAACGUGCUAAGUACACUACCUCAAAGGUGAUGUGGAAAGGUGUGCGCAUAUUAUAACGAUGAUCACUUUUCGAAUCGUUAUAUCUCAAAAACGGUGGCUCUCAGGA
rnacentral:lncRNA from 1 species